AACGUAGGAGACGAGCGUUAUCCGGAUUUACUGGGCGUAAAGCGUGUGCAGGCGGUUUGGCAAGUUGGAUGUGAAAUCUCCUGGCUCAACUAGGAGAGGGCGUUCAAUACUACCAAACUUGAGGGCAUCAGAGGAAGGUGGAAUUCCGGGUGUAGUGGUGAAAUGCGUAGAUAUCCGGAGGAACACCAGUGGCGAAGGCGGCCUUCUGGGAUGCUCCUGACGCUCAGACACGAAAGCUAGGGGAGCGAACGGG
rnacentral:rRNA from 1 species